rnacentral:rRNA from 1 species
AUUGAACGCUGGCGGCAGGCCUAACACAUGCAAGUCGAGCGAGCGGCGGACGGGUGAGUAAUGUAUGGGGACUGCCCGAUAGAGGGGGAUAACUACUUGAAACGGUAGCUAAUACCGCAUACUAUCGGAUAACCCAUAUGGGAUUAGCUCUUUGGUGGGGUAAAGGCUCACCAAGGCAACGAUCCGUAGCUGGUUUGAGAGGACGACCAGCCACACGGGGACUGAGACACGGCCCAGACUCUUACGGAGGCAGAAGUGGGGAAGUUGGGACAAGGGGGGAAACCCUGAUCGAGCCAUCCCGCGUGUAUGAUGAAGGCCUUCGGGUUGUAAAGUACUGUUGGCAGAGAAGCGGUAGCUGAAGAAUAAGCACCGGCUAACUACGGGCCAGCAGCCGCGGUAAUAC